rnacentral:rRNA from 1 species
CAAUAGCGUAUAUUAAAGUUGUUGCAGUUAAAAAGCUCGUAGUUGGAUUUCUGGUGGGAGCGAUCGGUCUGGCGCUUAGCGCGAGUACUUGCAUCGUCUCCGGCCAUCCUUGGGGAAAGUCUGUCUGGCAUUAAGUUGUCGGGCAGAGGAUCCUCAUCGUUUACUGUGAAAAAAUUAGAGUGUUCAAAGCAGGCUUAUGCCGUCGAAUAUAUUAGCAUGGAAUAAUAAGAUAGGACUUUGGUACUAUUUUGUUGGUUUGCGCACCAAAGUAAUGAUUAAUAGGGACAGUUGGGGGUAUUCGUAUUCCGUUGUCAGAGGUGAAAUUCUUGGAUUUACGGAAGACGAACUACUGCGAAAGCAUUUACCAAGGAUGUUUUCAUUAA